GAUGAACGCUGGCGGCGUGCCUAAUACAUGCAAGUCGAACGGACGGACGAUAAGCUUGCUUCUCUGAUGUUAGCGGCAGGCGGGAGAGUAACGCGUGGAUACCCUACCUAUCUGACGGAGAUAUCUUCGAGAAACCGGAGAUAAUAGCAGAGGAUAUUUUGAACCGCGUGGGGCGAUGGUGAGUUACGGUCUUGGUGGCACGUCUAGCUGGUUCCGGGCUGCAUUAGAUGGUUGGUAAGGUAACAGCCUACCAAGGCAACGAGGCAUAACCGAGGGGAGGGGGUGAUCGCCGACACUGGAACGUAACCACGGUCCAGAGGCCUACGGGAGGCAGCAGUAUGGAACGGUACGCAAAGGGCGAAAGCCUGACGGAGCAAGGCCGCGUGAGUGACGAAGGUGUUCGGUUCGUAAAACCGUGUUAUUAGGGAAGAACAUAUGUGGACUUAGCCGUGGAGAGCGUGACGGUACCUAAUCAAAAAGCACCGGCUAACUACGUG
rnacentral:rRNA from 1 species